rnacentral:ribozyme from 1 species
ACAUGCGUAUCAUGAUAGCACACGCACCAACCAGAAUGAAUUAAGAUUAAAAAUGGGUAACUACAUUGCCGCAUUUUUUUUUCUUGUUUCAUGGUGUUCCAUGAUCUUUUCUUUUU